rnacentral:rRNA from 1 species
AUUGAACGCUGGCGGCAGGCCUAACACAUGCAAGUCGAGCGGAUGAAGGGAGCUUGCUCCUGGAUUCAGCGGCGGACGGGUGAGUAAUGCCUAGGAAUCUGCCUGGUAGUGGGGGAUAACGUCCGGAAACGGGCGCUAAUACCGCAUACGUCCUGAGGGAGAAAGUGGGGGAUCUUCGGACCUCACGCUAUCAGAUGAGCCUAGGUCGGAUUAGCUAGUUGGUGGGGUAAAGGCCUACCAAGGCGACGAUCCGUAACUGGUCUGAGAGGAUGAUCAGUCACACUGGAACUGAGACACGGCCCAGACUCCUACGGGAGGCAGCAGUGGGGAAUAUUGGACAAUGGGCGAAAGCCUGAUCCAGCCAUGCCGCGUGUGUGAAGAAGGUCUUCGGAUUGUAAAGCACUUUAAGUUGGGAGGAAGGGCAGUAAGUUAAGACCUUGCUGUUUUGACGUUACCAACAGAAGAAGCACCGGCUAACUUCGUG